AUUAGGAAGCCCGCCCACUAAGGAGUCAGCUAGAUGCCCUGAAUGAGGUAGAAAAGUAUUCCCAGAUGUGUGUUCCCCCGCUCCAACCGCUCCCCACCACCCCCAGCAGAACCAUCAAGAGAGGAGGCUGGGCAACGCAGAGGAAAUAAGACAUUUUCAAAGACACACGCCAGAGUUGCGGAAUUGCUAGUGCUGUCAAGGUAAAUUUUAUUCAAGGACUUCUUUUUACAUAAAAAGGGCCAGUUAGAGUUAUUUGUGUUUCAAAUUUAUUUUAUUUUUCUUUAUUAAAGUAUAAAAAGAUACAUAAUUUGCCUUAAGUCUUUAGGUUCAAUUUGCAAAUCUCAUCUAUUUCUAAAACGAGUAAAUGUUAUAUAAAACAGAACAGGUUUUGCAGGGAACUUGGAUUAGCGUUUGAUGAACUCAAGUUACACAAAGUAAAUUCCCCUUAAAACAACCAAUCUCAUUUUGAAAACUUAAUUAAAUUCCCUUAAUUUUAAACUUCAUUUAUAAAUCAAAGUACCCUAUCUCAUAUGCCUGAGUGGGUAAAUUUAUGAGCUUAAGCAAAAUCUUUCCAAGUUCUGAACAAAUCUUUAAAGUUUAAAUAAAUUAAAAUGACAAAUAUAACAAGUCUUAAAUUCUUUUAAGCAUGCCAAUACUGAUUACAAACUUACUGGUAUGCAUUUUGACAAGAAUGAAAAAUUACAAGAAUCAAUUGCAUGUUUAAAAUUGGAAUCAAGAGGCUGAUUUCUCAGAUUUCAUUUCAAGCCUUCUUAUUCUAAGUGUGGUCAGAGGGGCAGCAGCAUGGGAACACCUGGAGCUCAUCAGGAAUGUGGACUCUCAGGUCCCACCAGGAACUACUGACUCAGAGUCUAUAGCAUUAGUCAAAGAGAGGGCAGGAAAGGGGUAUUUCCUUCAGUUUUUGAGCUGAUAUAGGUGCCAGGGUGAUAUGGUCCGUCGAUUCAUCCAUUUUUCCUUCUCUUUCUUCGGUUUUAGUAGCAUACAACAAUCCAGAAAGCAAAUCAUAUCUUCAAUCUCAUAUUAAAGUUUUCCAACUAGAAGAAGCAGAAAUACUGUGGUUUAAAAGAACCAAGUCGUGCUGGUGAAAGAUAGGUCUGGUUGAUUUUAAGAACCAUACUGGGCAUAAAAGGAAGAGAAGUAAUUUUUUGUAAAUGGACCCCCUCGCUGAGUGGAAGUUACUGCCUGAAUCAGCUGCACACAAUAUAAACUCCUGGCAGGAGUUUCUCUGUGAGUCAGAUAUCAAAGUCUUCUACAAAGUGGGAUGGGCACUGUGGCAAGUUGGUAUAGCCACGUUUCUUGAACUGAAAAGGAUAAAAAGAUAAGUAGAAAGGCACACUGUGAAUGUCACGUAAUUAAAUACCUGGCCAAAAUGAGCAAGAGCUACCUUACCCUGAGCCUAGCUAGGUCAGUGUGUGGUGCUCACCUGGAAAGAGGAAUAAGAUCAAGUAGGUGUAAAACCCUCACAUAAGGGGUCUUACUGUGUGGGGUUCAGGGCUAGCCUGCUGACAUAAUAGUGACAUUGGAAAGCAAAGUCCUGCCACGGUCCCUCCAUCAAUAAUGGAAACAUGGAGGCAAGAUCUCCAAAAGCAGGGUACGCUGGAGAGGCAAGGCCCCUACUGGGGCUUGAGAAGGAAGAGAAAGGUGACAGAAUCAGAACAGACCAUGUCGGAGGCUUCACAAUAGCUGGGAGAAGUACAGAAUUUGGGCCUGGGCACAGUGUCUCGUGCCUGUAAUCCUAGCAGUCUGGGAGCCAAGAUGGGAGGAUCACUUGAGCCCAGGAGCUUGCGAUCAGCCUAGGCAACACAGAAAGACCCCAUCUCUACCAAAAAAAAAAAAAAAAAAAAAAAAAGCCGGAUGUGGUGGCGCAUGCCUGUAGUUCCAGCUACUUGGGUGAUUGAGGCGGGAGGAUUGCUUGAGCCCAGGAGGUUGAGGCUGUAGCGAGCCUUGAUUGCGCUGAGACCCUGUCUGGGGAAAAAAAAAAAUUUAGGAGAUGGAGUAUGAAUAAACAAAGCAACAUUCCCUGGUGCCACGCAAGGCUGCCUCCGCAGAGGCAUUCCUGUGCUUAGCUUGGUUCUAAGGCAGCUACACAGUGAAGGAAGCUGAUACUAGGAAGCAGGGAUGCUCCGUCUAGGCACUGGAAAGCCUGAAGUUUCCUAGGCCCCCUAGGGUAGAGUAAGAUGAAUCCAAUGGUCAGAGGGGACUGCAUUCUUGUAGAAAGGUGUCCAAGAACUUCCACUGGCAAGUCAACUGUAGGUGCCAAUCUACUUUUUGCAAAAGCUGUUGCAGUUUAGGACAAGAGUUACAAAUGCAAAAAAAAAAAAAAUCAUUUAGUUUUAUUGGACAAAGUCCAAAAAACUAAAUACACCAAAGCAAACCAAAAUUCUGUUCAUUUUCUGUUCGCAUCGUGCUGCUAAAAUGCAUGCCACACCCGACUGUUUUAGGUUUGGGCCCAAGGAGAAUUCCUUAUAAAUAAAAUCCAUAUUCCCCUGGCAUCCUUUAAGUCCUGGAGGCAGAACUGCACGUUCACCCUAGUAUCAUUCCAGUCCUCUCUUUUUGUAAACGACUACAACUACCAGAAGUCUAGUGGCUCAAAUUUCCCCUGGAGUUUUUUGUUACGUAAUUGCCAGAUUAAAAUAAUUUUGUGUAGCAAUAAAUUUAAAUGAAACAUGUUUUCAUUCAAGGUCCAGAGUGAAAUUAUAGACUCAGUGUCCCUACAAUGUUCAGUAGCUAAGCCAUGUUCUUUCCAAUGUCUUUUUUUUUUCCCGUUUGUGCUGCACUGGCUAGAUUUAUCAGAACCUGUUUGAAACCAAGGUCAUGUCUGUAAUAGACAAAUUAGUUUUAAUUUCAACCAUCGAUAUGCUUUUGAAAAUCACUGCAAGGACAAACUAAUAAUUUUGAGAAUACAGAAGUGUUCCUUUUGAUAACAAGAUAUCUAGAAUAACAGUGAAGAUUUUUAGCCAAUUAAUUUUCUACACAAUGCUAAAUAAGUAAAUAGCUUAAAACAAACAUAUCAGUUGACUUAAAUUUUAAAUAUUAUUGUUCCUGAAUACAAAAUAGUUUUCAGGUACAAAAAAUAGGAAACUGCUGGCUAAAAAGGGAUCACCCCUAUUAAUUUGUUUCAAUUGGAAUAUCAUUAUAGUCUGUUGCCAAUAAACGAUGUCAUCAGGUUUUUCUCAUGAGGGUUAAUUAAUGGUAACAACUAGUGACUGAGAUUAGAAGGGAGAAGGCGAGAACAGAGUUCUUUCUUGAGCUGGAAGAUGUUUCCUCUAUAUAUGUAUGCAGGCUACAAAACUGAAAAAUAACUUACCAUUAGAAUUACACUACAGUGGGCUAUGACAUAUAAUAUAUUUUUCUUUGACUUAAGAAUUUUCCACCACCAAAGAUGGAUUUAUCCUCAGGCCGCUUGUGUGCUAUACCAGUGGACCUGCAACUUAAGCAUUUGCUCUGCUCAGGGGAGAAUUAUUGCUUCCUAUUAAUUUAUGGUUUAGAGAAUGUUUCAGCGAUAAAGCUGAAAAAUUAAUUUCAGAUUGGUCCCAGAGGGGUUGCUUUUAAUAGUUCUGUUAAUUCAUUUUGGGGAGGAUCCCUAUGAAAGUUUAUGAAAAUGGCAAAGACUCACUAGCCCAUCUCUAAUCUGGAUUUUAUUUGAAACAGACCUCAUCCUUCUAAUUAGAGUUGUUAGAACCUACUUUAAUUUUAUCAAUAAUAAUUAACAUUUCUAUCGUACUUCAGUUUACAAAGUGCUUUCUCAUAAUCUAUUAAAUUUUGGAAUCAUUACAGUAAUCUAAUGAAGUAGUGUAUUCGUUUCUUAUUACUGCAACAACAAAUUACCACAAACUUAGUGGCUUAAAACAACACAAAUUGAUUGUAUUACAUUGUCAGAAGUCGAAGUCCAAAACAGGUCUCACUGGACUAAAAUCAAGGUGUUGGCAGGUGUGCCUUCCUUCCAGAGGCUCUAGGGGAGAAUCUGUGUGCUUGCCUCUUCCAGCUUCUAGACGCCACCUCCAUUCCUUAGCUCAUGGUCCCUUCCACCUUCGAAGCCAGGCAGCAAUAUACAGUCAGGUGUUUCUUAAGCUGCAUCACUCUGACUCUGCUUCUAUUCUCAUAUCCCCUCCCUCCCUCCCUCCCUCCCUCCCUCCCUCCCUCUUUCACUUUUAAGAACCCAAGUGAUUACAAUGCCCAUUCUCCCAGGCAAUCCUGGAUAAUCUCCCCAUGUCAAGAUUUUUAAUUUAAUCACCUCUGAAAAGUCCGUUGUACCAUGUGAGCUAACAUAGUUACAGGUUCCAGAGACUAAGUCAUAGACAUCUUUGAGGCCAUGAUUCUGCCUAGCACAAGUAGCAAUAUUUUAAAUGUUUUUAUCAUUAGUGAUGGUGAUGGUAAGAGUAGAUUAUUUAACAGAUAAGGCAAACAAGAUCAAAGGAGGCCUAGUUACUUAAUUACAAUCACUCUAUUAAUAUCACACAACACUGUAAUUUAAAAUUGGUGUUCAGAUGUUAAUCUACUGCUUGUUCAACUCCAUCAUGACGUGUUAGUCCAAGAGAAAAGUUCCUAUAAGGCAUUUUUAUUGAACUUUGAAUGACAGUCCAGCAAUUCUUUUAGGUCAUUUCCAAAAAUGUUGCUUCAGGGCUUAUUGUUAAUAAUGUCCACCAUAUUUUUGAUUAAUUAAUUAACAGUAAAGAUAAUUCUAGUUGUGGUAGCUCUGAAAUGUACAUAUUUACAGAUUCUCUUAAAAAAUAAAAAAGUUUUACGUUCCCAUAGCAUAAUGGAGACUUUAAAUUUUGUAUUUUCACAUAUUAUAACCAGGUAAACAGCAAGAAGGUCAAAUGAAAUAAUCCAUAGCCUACACCUAAAACAGGAAAAGACCUACUGAAUGGUAAGAGAGGAAUUUGGCAUUCAUUCCCAAGUUUAGCGUUUUUAAAUAAAAUCUUUUAUUAGCACCAUGAGAAAAGGAAAAGCAGAGUUGACAUUUUAAAGUACAACUGAUGUCAAUAUAUUUGCUAUGUGUGUUAUUUGGAGGAGCUGCCAAGAAUAUGGUUUGUUUAGGGUUCAGAUCAGCUUUGGGAUUUGAUAAAUACUAGUGUCAAACAUAAACGUGCAGGUAUUUGUCUUGAAUUAAACCUAAACAAUUAAUGAGUUAUGUGAGCACAUAAAUUUACCAAAGCAGGCCAGAGAAACCCAUGCCUCACCUUUAAUCUUUUUUAAAUCUUUGGGAUGAUAGAGGAGACUUCAGGUCAGGAUUUCACAGAAAGAAGUAUUAGAGGCAGACACUGAUUCCUCAGUGAAGAUGCCAGAAUUUGUUCUUCAGCAGAAUAUGGCAAAUUUAUCAACAUAACAAUUCAGAUCAGAGAAGGAGACAGGAACCAAAUUUCCCGAAACAGCAAGUACUCUUUUGUGUUCUGAGAUACAUCAGUUGAAUAGAAGCUGUCGAUGCUUAAAAAUUUAGCAUAAACAUUCAUUAUGUUUUAUUGCAGACAGUUCUUGUUCCGCACUUAAAUGUUUGGCAGUCCAAGAGAAAAGUAACCAGGAUGAUAAAAAUCCACAAUCCAUGUUAUUCAUGGAAUUGUUGAAACAACAAUGUAUUUUUAGAUUGGGAAAGAUAAAAUCUAGAAGAUGAUUUCUACUACUUGAAGGAAGGUUCUUUGAAUCAUUUUCCAUACAUUUAGCUCCAUAAGAUAAAACUAGAACCAACUGGAAAAAAUUUUAGGGGUAGAAGAUUAAAGGCCCAUUAAAUAUUUGUUCUAGUAAUUUGAGCUACCCUAAAUUAGAAUAAACUACUUCAUAAGGUCGUAAGUUGCCAUUCCUGCGAUAUCCACACAGAGGAGGCAUCAGGAUGAUCAUGGGCUUUCUGUAUUACACGAAAAAGAAAAAUAGAGAAAGAAAAUAUAGCAGAUAAGAGCAGGGACCUGUGACUUUGGGCAAGUUGCUUAGUUAUUCUGUCCUUUAAUAUUUUUAUCUGUAAAUGGAAAGAGACCUAGUUCCAACUUGAGACUGUUGAUAGGUUUAAAUAAGGUCAGAAAAAGGUUUACUACUAUGCUUGGCUCAUAAUAAGUGCUUAAUAAAUAGAAGGCAUACAUACAACUAACAACAGGCUAAUAAAAAAAAUCUAGUAACGAACAUCACAACUCAACUGCUCUACAAUAAAGGAAGCUUUGUGACACGCCUUUUCUCAUUUUAAUUAGGAUUCUAGUUUUCCAUUUAGACUGUUUGGCAGGGAAUAUGGGCAUAUGGGCAUCUCAGUGCAUUAGUAAGUCAUUCCACCAAACUGAUCUUGCUUUUUGGAUAUAAUUGGCCUCAGUAUCUUUGGUGGACUGUAUUAUUGUCCUCUAUUAUUUACUCCCCUCUUCACUAUAAAAGAACAAGAUGACCCCACUGAUGCCAUGUGACUUAGAGUGCCUUCACAGAAAUGAAGUAUGCUUCCCCAUCCCAUUGUAAGCCUUGGCUAUGUGACUCACUUUGUCCAGUAGCAUACGCUCAGAUAUAACAUGAGCCACAUACAAGCAGAAGUCUGAAGACACAUUAGUUUUUUUUCUGGAAGUCCUGUUGCUCUUUCCCUCUACCAUGAGAAAUGUAGAAAAAUAUAUAUAUUAUGGAGGUGAAAGGUAGACAGAAAAUACACUCAUUGGUUGCUUAACCAUGGGGAUAUAUUCUGAGAAAUGCUUCAUUCAGCAAUUCUGUUGUUGUGGGAACAUCAUAGAGUAUACUUACUUAAACCUAGAUGGUACAACCUACCACACCUAGUCUGUAUGGUAUAGGCUAUCACUCCUAGGCUACAAACCUGUACAGCGUGUUACUGUACUGAAUACCAUAGGCAAUUGUAGCACAAUGGUAAACACCUAUGUAUCUAAACAUGUAAAUGUAGAUAUGUUUAAAGUACAAUAAAAAUAUGAUGUAAAAGGUUAAAAUGGUACACCUGUGUAGGGCACUUACCAUGAAUGGAGCUUGCAGGACAGGAAUUUGCUCUGGGUGAGUCAGUGAGUGAGUGGUGAGUGAACGUGAAGGCCUAGGACAUGACUGCACGCUACUGUAGACUUUAGAAACACUGGACACUUAGGCUACACUAAAUUUAUUUUUAAAAUGUUUUUCUUCAACCAUAAAUUAACCUUACUGUACUUUACUGAAAUCUUUUUACUUUAUAAACUUGUUUAUUUUUAAAGUUUGACCUUUUUGUAAUAACACAGCUGAAAACACAAACACAUGUACAGCUGUACAAAAAUGGUUUCUUUAUAUCCUUAUUCCAUAAGCUAUUUCCUAUUUUUAUUUUACUUUUUAAACUUUUUGGUAAAAACUAAGACACAGCACACAUAUGCAUUAGCCUAGGCUUACACAGGGUCAGGAUCAUCAAUAUUACUGUCUUCUACCUCCACAUCUUGUCCCAGUAGAAGGUCUUCAGGGGUGAUAACCUGCAUAGAGCUGUCAUCUGUGAUUACAUUGCCUUCCUCUGGAAUACCUCCUGAAGGACCUGCCUGAGGUUGUUUUGCAGUUGACACAUAGAUGCAGAAGGAGUACACUCUAAAAUAAUGAUUAAAAGUAUAGUAUAGUAAAUACAUAAACCAGAAAUAUAGUUGUGUAUUUUGAUCAAGUACUAUAUAUUACAUAAUUGUUUGUGCUCUAUUCAUAUGACUGGCAGUGUGGCAAGUUUGUUUACACCGGCAUCACCACAGACACACAAUACCUUGGGCCUUGACAUUACUAUGGCUAUGAUAUGACUGGGUGAUAGAAAUUUUUCAGCUUUAUUAUAAUCUCACGGGACAGACCAUUGUCAUAUAUGCAGUCCCAUGUUGAGGAAACGUAGUUAGGUAGUGCAUGACCAUAUAUUAUACCAGCUGUUUCUUCUAGCUGCAUCUCAGAAGGUGAAGCCUUGUGGCCCUCACUUGCUAUGGGUUCAGACCCAGAUUUUCACCAGGAGCCAGAGGAACAGGAGCUGCAGGAGGUAGAGAGGUACCAGCCCCUCCCCAGGCCCCCAGCCUGAAGCAGGGCCUUGCACCCCCAUGACACUAGGCCUCUGGGGCUGCAUCCACAGUGGUGCUUGUUUCUUAUACAUUGUCAGGGUGCAGCGGCAGGUGUUCAGCUCCCUUGGGACAAGUCCCUUCGCUAGUGACAGAUUUCAUCACUGGUUGAGAGAGUUUGACGUGCUUAAGUGCAUUUAUUGUUCUAGGUAUUAGAUUUUAGGGCUGUGGACAGAGCAGUUCUAUGCUGGCAGAUAUGACCCGGUUGCCCUUACAAAGAGGAGAGGGCUGAGCACUCGUGAUUUAGCCUGAGGCUCUCCAGACUCCCAUCUUGCUUGCACAUGUGGCCUCUGCCAUUGGUUCUCUUCCUCGGUGCCCUGAAAUGACAGAAAAAUGCAAUCUGAUAUCAACAAAUUUGGAGGUAAAUGGAGGCGCCAGGUGCCCUGUCCAUAAAGCAGAUCUGGUAUUUACAUAAGGAAUUUGUAGCAUCCUGGUCAGUUCCCAGGUUGGCUGAAGGCUUUGAUGCAGCACCAAUGUGAUCCAAAGGGUUUUCAAAAGCAGGGUUGUACCAACAUUGGAGCAGAAACUGAAGCUGGAUCAAAAAGUCCUUAUGAGGUUGGACACAGUGGCUCCUGCCUAUAAUCCCAGCACUUUGGGAAGUGGAGGGGGAGGAUUGCAUCAGACCAGGAGUUCCAGACCAGCAAUGUAGUGGGACCAUGAGCACUAUAGCAGGACCUUGAUGGUUUUAGAAAUUAGCUGGACUUGGUUGUGCACUCCUUUAGUGCUAGCUACUCAGGAGGCUGAGGCAGGAGGAUUGCAUGAGCCCAGGAGGUUGAGGCUGCAGUGAACUAUGAUCAUGCCCCUACACUCCCAUCUGGGCCAGGUAGUAAGAUCCUGAUUUGGAAAAAAAAAAAAAAAAAAGUCCUUAAGACAGCUGGGUUGCCCUCUCACUCAGGCAGCUCCAGGGCUCUGGAGACAUCUUGAAACUAUUCUCUGCAGGGCACUCUGUAUCAGGCUCUUUGCUGAAGCGAGAGGAUGAUGCCUCAUCGAAAGGCCAGAGUCAGAGCAUGGCUUUAAACUGAGAGUGUCGAAAACUCACAGUACAUACACUGCGAGGUUACAGAAGGGAAGGAAAAAUGGAAUCCAGGGCCUGGAGGAGAGCUUUAUGCCUGUCGCUGCAGCCUUAGGCAUAAAGGGCUGAAGUACUCCAGCAGUGAUUGGGAAGCCCAGAACGACUGUCAGCAAUGGAUUGCCAAAUGAUGAGGAGCUGGAGGAGUUGAAGUUAAGGGAACCAGGUGACCAAACUUCAGCAACAAAGUAGAGCACAUUGGCCUGUGAGUUCUGGGACAGCAUCGGGAGCUUCCUAUACAGAAUUUGAGCUGGGGCUUAGCUUAUGGGAAAUGUCUCAUUCAAUACAGCUGGACAAGAAUAUGUGGAGCUGUCUAAAUAUCUGUGUAUGGAUUAGCCACAUUGAAAUAGGAGGAAGUGAUGAGCCUGGAAUGUGGGAGGAAAGAUGUGCUUAGAUAGAUUCAAACCUCUUGGAGCACUGUUCCCAGGCUGACCCCUGUAGAUCUUUACCCCUUUUUGCUUGGUCUUUCUGUAUGCUGCAAACCAGCCCAUAUCAGUUUCUAUGAUACCUGCAAUAUAUGUUGGGGAGGGAAUUGGGAAACUAAAUUGAGACGACCUGGGGAGCAGAGCUGCAGCUACCAAUCUGCUAGCUUCCCAAAUGUAAUGAGAACAAAAAAUAAAUUUUGUUAUUGUAAAUUAAUGGGAUUUUAUGAUUGCUGCUACUGAAGCAAAUCUAAGAAAACACAGAAAUCUGAACCAGCACACAGAAGUUGGUACCAGAAGUAGGGUGAUGACUUCAAAAAGACAUAAAAUAUGAGCUACUGGCCUCAGAGCCAGGUGGUAGGUAAUGGGGAAAAUAUUAUUGGAAGAUGAGAAGAAUGAUGAUCUAUAUUACGCAGUGAUGUCAUAUUUGGGUUAAAUGUCAUCUGUGAUAUCAUGGAAGUGAGCAAAUAUACCUGUUGAACUUGUGGUUUUAGACAAAGAGAUUGCAAUGUAAGAAUUUUGCUGGGGUGCCUGGGUUGUUAUUUUUAGCUGUCUUUGAUUAGGUAUUACAAGAGUAAGAGAAGCUCAAUAGAAUUUUGAUGAAAGUAUGGAGAUGAUCCUGGGAUGAAAGUAUAUAGAGGGAAUCUAGAAACUUCAGUUCUAGCAGAACUGGAAGAUGCAGUUAAUUUUUUUAUCUAUAACCAGUGAGAGAAAAAAUUAACUGCUUGGGCAACAAAACUUAUACUAUAUCUCAAGAAAACAACGAAAUCUUUUGUAUGAUCAUCACCUCCUUAGUUAAACACUGUGAAUGGUUCAAAAUUGCCCAUAGAAAAUCUUUUAUUGGGGGAAAAAUGCUUAGGAUAAAGAGAAUGUACACAUGGCUCAUCCAGGAGGCCAGUAAACUCAAGAUAAAUCUAGAGAGAGAGGAGUAUCUCAAAAAGAAUUGUGGGUAUAGCUUUUGGCACAUAGAACUGUUUGGACACAAAAGUUUGACAGAUCGUACAGUCAUCUCUCAGUAUCCAUAAGGGAUUGUUCUAGCACUCCUUCCAGAUACCAAAAUCUGAGCUGCUCAAUUAUUUACAUAAAAUGUCAUAGUAUUUGCAUACAACCUAUGCACAUCCUCCUCCCAUAUGCUUCAAAUCAUGUCUAGAUUGCUUAUAAUGUCUAUUAACAAUAUAGUAUAAAUGCUGUUUUGAUGGUUGUUCUACUGUAUUGUUUUGGCAAUAAUUACAAAAAAAGUCUACAUGUUCAGUAUAGACACUUAAAAAAUAUUUUUGAUCAGUGGUUGGUUGAAUCUACAGAUGUACAGUGCACAGAUCCAGAGGACUGACUGUACUGGCAAAAGUUUCACCAACCAAGAGUAAGAGACAUUAUGACAAAUUAAGAGUUAAAAGAAUUUGGGGGGCCCAGAAUUUCUACUAUGAGUUACUAUAUUAAUAAAUCUGCUUAGUACCUAAAAAGGACAUAUUCUCCAAUGUUCCCUUCAGAUAUUCAAGAACAACAGUGGAACAGGAAGAACACCCCAGAAAAUAAAACCAAGAGCUGUAGAAACCAGUGAACUGAGCUCUCAGACAGCAGAACUGGGGUUUAUCAGGGAAUUUCUUUUUUGUUACUGCAACAAAGCUAACUCAGUCUAUUUACUGAGAAACCAGAAUACAGCUAUAAGAUGAAAUAGUUAUAUACAUCUGUUAAUUAGUUUUAACAACAUAUUAAGAAUCCCUGAUUUAAACAGAUUUUACUUUAGCCAUAUGUAAGAUUGACUAGAGUAAAAAUAUGUAAGAACUGGAUAUUUGCAACAUUGUC
rnacentral:lncRNA from 1 species